GAUUUAAAAGAGAAUUGUUUUAUUUCAAACGGAUUAGGUGACAAAACAGCCAGGUUCAGACCAAUUCAUAAAAUUUCUUCAAAAUAUAAGAUCUUUACCUACAAAAAAAGCGAUAAUAACAAUGAAAUUCGAUUGCUCGCGUGACACUUAAAAUUUAAAAUUUUUAAGAUUAGGUGCUUAAGAAGCCGAGCUUUGGAAUCGACUUCAGUUCAAAGAAGAGCCUUCACGAUGAAACUACAACAUUCUUUAGUUGUUCCUCCUUACCUUAUUGGUUUGCUGUUUGGUCAGCAAUGCCUAUGCAUAUGGAUAUGGAUAUGGAUAUGGAUACCCCGUUUUUUGGUGUACAAUUUAUUAUUGGAGAGAACAGGAUAAUUGCUGUGUUGCAUCACUUAUACCUCUAAGUUAUCCUUGCCGAAUUGUAAAAAGAGAAGCACUAUGUGGAAGCUUUUUCCAAUAUGGUUGAAAAAAUAUGGAUAUACAGAAAAUGUAAAUCGGAACAUUUUAAAAUUAGUAACCAGAAUAUAACAUGUCGUUAUUGUGUUCUAAGCAA